GAUGCCUGGCGCUGAUGUACACUUAUCUGCUGUGUGGCCUGGGGCAAGUCACUUGACCUCCCCUGAGCUUCAGAUUUUGCAAAUCUGAAAGGGAUGGUAAUGGGUAGAGAGCCCUCGGCGUGGUGGCAGCACCACAUAGGGACCCCAACGGUGGCAGCGCUUCUGACUCCUGAACCCCUCUAGAGCUCAGUUUUUCUGUCUGUAAUCUGACAGGGUUUAUCUAGAACAGUGGUUCUAGACUGAUUUUACACCCCCCAACCCCAGAAGACAUUUUGGUUGUCACAACUGGUGAGGGGUAGGAGGGGAAGUGCCGCUGACAUCGAGUGGGCGGAGACCAGAGAUGCUGCUAAACAUCCCACGGUGCACAGCCCCCCAGCAAAGAAGGAUGGGCCCCAGAUGUCAAUAGGGCCACUGCUGGGAAACCCUACACUGAGAUCACCUCUAGAUUUCCCUGCAGCUCUAGAUGAUAUUUGGGCUUGCUCUGCAUUGCCUCGUGCUGGGAAAGGCGUUCUGGGCACGCAGUGUGCAGCCCCCCACCUGGGCCCAGAACCCCUCCUUAUCUGGCCUCAAAGAGCCCGCUCAGCCCAGGGCCGGCUUUUUGCCUGCUGUGGGACGGCUUUCCCUGCUUCACCUGGCCCACCCCACUGCCGCAUCAGUCCCCUGUGGGGAGGGGACAGGAUCCUUCCUUCCGUGAUGCAAGGAAGGUGCUCAUCGGCUGCCAGGGAGGCUCCAUGGGCCACGGGCGCCCCAACCCCACUUGCAGAAGCUGGAGCGUUGUCCUGUCCAGCGCUCAGCCUGCCAUCUACACACCACCGCAGCCCCAGUUGGGACUCGAACCCAGUGGUAGGCCUCAACCACUGCGCCGCGCUGACGCUGGUGGAUCCCUCCCCACCCAGCUGCAGCCGACUGAGGAGUCCCUUCCCAGCAAGCAGGUCUGUGUUUGCCUUUGGCCGGGGGAGAAUCAACAGGCCUCGGUACGGUACGUUAGUCCAAAGCCCAGUACCUUAGUCAGGACUCAUCCAGCUGCAAAGAACCGAAUCCUACUGAGAUUAGUUGAUGCCAAACAGAACCUAUUGUUUGGCGUCGCUGAAGAGUUGGGAACGGAACAGCUUCAGGCACGGCUGAAUCCAGGGGCUCAGGCAGGGUGGUCCGGCGCUGUCUCCAUCUCUAGGCCCUGCUUCCCUGUGUGUUGCCUUCAUUCUCAGGUGGGCUCUCUCCACCUGCUGGCAAAGAUGGUGCCCCUCAGCCCCAGGCUUCUAUCCCACCAGCCUGAUAGAGAUUUCCUCUUCAAAAAUUCUAGCCACACUCUCGGGGUUGAGUCUCACUGGCUCAGCGUGGGUCCCAUGCCCAUUACUGAAGCCAUCACUAUGGCCAGCCUUGGUCAUGUGCAUAACUCGGCCCCCGGCGCCUGGGGUGAGGCUGGGAAGAAGGGAGUUUUGGCAAAGAUGGUGAGAGAUGCUGUCUACACCCAGAGGAGGCGUCUACAUCGCCCUCCGGAGGCUGGCUGUCCGACAGAGGCCUGUGGCCGUGGUGGAUGGGUGGGGGCUUCUGAGUGGCAAAACCCUGCCCCCCUGGCAAAGAGGCUCGGAUUCCAAUUUUGUCAGACUUAGAACAGUUAAGUAAUGAGAUCAUUCUCGCAAGUCUUAUGAAACAAAUUCAUACCAUUAGCGGGGAGCAAGUCCUAAAUUCUAGAACUUGCCUCAGUCACCUCCGUCUCUAGAACUUUUAGGGACGUGGCUAAGCACAUAGGAUCUGGAGUCGAUCUCUUGGUAGGAACCCUGGCUCUGCCACAGACCAGCCGUGUGACCUUGGGACAGUCACCCAACCUCCCUGAGCCUCCAUUCCCUCAUCUGACUGACGGAAGCCGGACAUUUCCUGCCCCACGGGACCCCUGCGAGGAUUGCGCGAAGCUCUGAGGGCUUGGGUGACGUGCCCGUGUUCUCUGGGCGAGGGUUGGCACCAGCUUGGCUCACCCCACCUUCUAGGCUCAUUCUGUCCCCAGCACCGUCAUCGCACAGGGCCGUGCCGACCUUCAUAGAGUCUUAUCCACUGCUUUGCUUCCUCCCUCUAAGCCCCAAGCAUGUUCCUCUUCUGGCAAAUUCCUAGAACCCUCACCGCGGAACUGCAUGGGAUGAGGGUUCUGGGAAACUGAUUUCCAGCAUAAUUGAGUGGAUGCGGCACCCUUGUCCCCUGCACACCCCCACCCCCAGGUCCUCUGGUCAGAGCCAGGCAGCUGGGGACCUUGGCUCCUCCUCCCAGAAGCCGCUCAUCUCCUUCCUCGCUGGUCUCCAGCAGAAUUCCAACAGGGUGAGGGUGGAAACUUGGCUUCCUAAGGCCUGACCUCAAAAUUUGCAGGGUCACUUCUGCUGUGUUCUGCGGGUCACAGCAGGUCACCCAGGCCAGCCCGGAUUUGAGGGAUGAGGAAACAAAUUGCGUCUCUUGAUGGUAAAAGUCACAAAAUACUGUGACCAUGUUUGUCAAUCGUAAGACACCUACCGUCAUUAUUGGAAGUUUGUUAUGAUAAAUAUAUUUAUGGACAAUGACAGUGAAUUUAAAGGGACCCCCCCCCCCCCACUGAGAUGUGCAGUGCACAAUCUGUGCAACUGUCAGGAUGGCCCUGCUGAUGCCGUGGGAUUCUGUGUUCUCGCUGAACCUCACUGUGGUAGGCAUCUGGAGCUUUUGAAUGCCCAGUGUGCAGCACUCCUUUUGGGGAUAGUCACUCCCCAUCCAUCCCCACCUCUAUUUUGGAGGGGCCGACCCUCCCAAGGUCCAGGUGGGGGCAUGCAAUCAGGAACUCUAUCAUUCUAACCAUAGGGAUUGGGCAAAGGAUGGAUUUAUGAUCCAUGCUUGGACCAAUGAGAUUCAUAGGUCUUUUGCCAAAAGGGUUAGGAAAAAGGUUCUCUGUUUCCACCUUUUUUGGGUUGCUUGGCUGAUUGGAGGCCUGGAACUGCUGGAGAUCAUCUUUGCAAUGAGAAUGAGAAUGAAGCAGUCAGAGUGGAGAGCUGAGUCACGAGAUAGAGAGGGAGGGAGAGAGAGAGAGAGAGAGAGAUUCCUGAUGACAACAUUUAGACUCCUCGAUCCAGCCAUGCCUGAAGUCCUUACUGUGGACUUUCCAUUUAUGGAACCCAAUAAAUUCCCUUUGGUGUCAGUUUCUAUCCCUUGCAACCAAAAGCCAUCUUAAUGAUACGAUGCUCUACGGCUAUUUGGGUCACAACGAGGAUUAAAUGAGCUGACGAUAUAUAUGGAAUGCACGGCUCAUGGGGGCCCGUGAAAGGCAAGCUCCCAGGUAUCUCUCUUCUCCUCCCCUCUAGUGGAUAUAGCUCCGACCUAAAACCUACUAAAAGCAUUAAACCCGUUGAGAACAGGCAUGGAUGGGUUUGUCUGGUUGUGGAACAAUGAACGCGCAAAAGCAAAACUUCACACUGCCGCCUGCACGCUCGACACCCCGUGUUCUUAAUUUAAAUUCUGAAAAGGCGACAGAGAAGCCACGGCUGUAAAUAACCGCGUGAAAUGAUGCAAAAACAAUCUCAAGAGACACCCUUUGUGUUUUCCCUGCGAGAGGACAGCCGUGGGGCAGUGCGGAGACAUGGAAAUCUGUAAAGACGGUCUUCUCCAUCUGCUCAGGAUUAAAAAGAAGUUCGCAAG